UUUAAGCCCUAAAUAUGAUUUAAGUUUCUUAUAUCU
rnacentral:tRNA from 1 species